AAGUACAGAUUUUAAGCAGUGUUUGUUUAAAAUGUUCAGCCUGCCAGUUAAAAAAGAAUACUCCUACACACCAGGAAUGGAGGGGAAGAUGGGCGAUAGGGGCUGCAUUCCCUGCUUGGAGGAGGGGGAGAGAAGCAAACAGGAGAAAGGUGUUUCCUCAGCAUCCCUCCUGCUGGAUGUGCAGCCCAAGACGUAUGCCACCUGCACUGCAGCUUUGCCUGCCUCUCAGGCCCCACAACAGCCUUCAGGAGCGUUUUGCACCCUCCAUCCCAUGUGCAGGUCAGCCCAAAGACAGCUUAGGUGCUCAGAGGGCACAAAGAAGGUGAGGAGGUAAGGAAACACUCCCCUCUAUACCCACCUCUCCUUACCUAAAAGCACAAUCCUUUCUCUAAUUAAGACUUCAUCUCUUCAGCUAACGUGGCCAAGGGGCACAUCAGUAGCAGGUGAAAUCCAGGAGCGGUGGUUGAGAUCUCCCUCAUCAAUGACAAAUGCAUCACCUCUGCUCUGGACACAUCCCUGCCCUGCCAGUCACCAGCCCCUGGAUUGCCACCUGAUGCUGAAGAGGCAGUUUUCCUUCUUUUUCCUUUUUUCCUCCCUUUAUCCUUUUCUCCUUUUUUAAAUCCUUUUUUCUAAUUUUUUCCCUUUUCUUUUUUCCCCUUUCUUUUCUCCUUUCUUUCCUUUUCUCUUUCUUUGCUUUUUUUUUCCUUGUUUCCUUUUUUUUUCCUUUUCUCUUUUUUCCUCUUUUUUUUUCCUCCUUUUUUCCUUUUUUUUCUCUUUCCUUUUCAGACAAGCACAAGCUCAUCCAGGAGGAGCAGAUCUUGAGGAACAUCUCCACGAGACGCAGGGGGCAAAAGAGGCUCAGUCAGUCUGGUGAAGACUCUUCAGCUUCUAGGGGGACAUGUCUGAAGCUGGAUGUGCACGGAAAGCGAAGUGAGCGUGGCCAGUCCUCACGGUCUGCCCCUGCCACUCGUCCCCUUGCUGCAGUGUGGAGCGUGGCAGCUAGCAGGGUGAGUGCAGCUUGGCCUUUUCCAGAUGGCACGAGGUGAAGUUUGUCCUUCCUCGUGUGGAGCUCCUAAGUGCGUAGGACACAGGUUUGCUGCAUGGCAGCACUGGAGAAUGGAAGCACGCUGAGGCUGUCGGA